rnacentral:tRNA from 1 species
CNNGUACACAUAGUUUAAUUAAAACACUAGGCCGUGACCCU